rnacentral:rRNA from 1 species
AUACGUAAGUUGCAAGCGUUAUCCGGAUUUAUUGGGCAUAAAGAGUGCGUAGGCGGUAUUUUAAGUCAGAUGUAAAAUCCCACAGCUCAACUGUGGUCAGCAUUUGAAACUGGGAUACUAGAGACUAGGAGAGGAAAGUGGAACUCACAGUGUAGCGGUGAAAUGCGUAGAUAUUGUGAGGAACACCAGUGGCGAAGGCGGCUUUCUGGACUAGAUCUGACGCUGAGGCACGAAAGCAUGGGGAGCGAACGGGAUUAGAUACCCCGGUAGUCCAUGCCGUAAACUUUGUUCACUAGGUGUUGGAGGCAUCGACCCCUUCAGUGCCAAAGAUAAUUCGUUAAGUGAACCGCCUGGGGAGUACGACCGCAAGGUUAAAACUCAAAGGAAUUGACGGGGCCCGCACAAGCAGUGGAGCAUGUGGUUUAAUUCGACGAUACGCGAAGAACCUUACCAGGACUUGACAUCCGCGGAAUCUUCUAGAGAUAGAGGAGUGCC